rnacentral:lncRNA from 1 species
CUUCUGAGACAACAAUAAUUAAUAAUUAAGCCCAUUUAUUCCUUAACUAUUGUUUUAAAAUGGAAGUAAUAUUGUUGCAUAGUAAUCAUUUAUCUUAAACAAUGUUUUAAUCUUAUGCGGUAUUUGGAUUUUUUAAUGUUUCUAAUUUUAUGUCAUAAAAAGCAUUUAUGGGCAUGUGGGAUAUAUGUGUAUUCUCUUUUUAAAAGGACUAGGUACUUUUAUGGGAACUAAGUUGAGGAUGUAACCAGUUUGUUUUUCUGAUGUGUAUUAAUAAUAGAUGAAUAAUAGUAAAUGUUUAAAAACUAUCCAACUAUUCUAAAAUCAUAGGAUCAUGGGACUGGAAGAGAACUCAGUGCCAUUUGGACCUCAUCCUGUGGAGAGUCUGAUUCAUUAGGUCUAAACCUGUCUUCACUUCUGUGAGAAUCUUAUAGAAAGGAUGAUCAGCUGGGCAGAGACACCGGAUUCCUACUUUUAUUACCUACAAUGGCCUUCUCCAGUAUUCUAGGUCCCAUAUUUUCAUGGAGUAUUAAGCUAAAAUUACAGAACAAUGUAAACACAGUCUUGAUGGCCCCCCUCCCUGUUUGCAUCUUGUGAUCUGAGUGGCCAGUUUACAUGUUACAUUUCCAGGUGAGUGACACCUUAUACCAGAAAAUCCAGAUUUAUAAAUAAGGUAUUUCUUUACAGUGAGAUGUUUUAAUUAAAUGGCUUGUUUUAAAAAUGCUGUUAUGUCAAGAGCUCUCAUGCAUACAAACUGCUGUGCCAUACAAAAAUGUACCCUCCUCAGGGACACAUUACAUAACUGAACCAUAGGUCUUAUUUGCUAACACUUGGAGAGAAAGCCAUUCAGUUCCUUGUCCUGGAGAUGCUGAACAAAUAUAGUCCAACGGCUUUCAUGGUAUAUUCAGGAUCCUAAAUUCUGGUUCUCGGCUGCAGGCCCUAUGUCAAGUUUUAACAAAAAUCAAAUCCUAGAAGUAGUGGAGGUCAGCGGAAUGUGGGGGAACUAGUUUCUAACUAUGGGAAGUGAUAAAUGUCUUCUCUUUCUGCCUUCUUAGAAAAAGUGUCAGAACAGUGUAUCUAAACUAAGAAUGAGAAGCAUUUGUGUUUGACCCACAGUGAUGUGUGAGCUUUAUGUAGAAAGUAGACCCAGAAUCUGAGCAUUAAGACAAUCCAAAGUCAGCAUACCACCUCCAACACUUAGGUCCAAAAGAUUGUAUUUGGGAAAUGCCUGUCAUUUGGCUCCAGUUACCCUCAAGCUCCUAGAGAACAACAUAGCUCCUAGAAGGAUAGCAUCAAAUACUUCUAAAGGCACCUAAAGCCAUGUCAGCCUGGGGUUAUAAAAUCAGGCUUUUAAUAUUAAACAUGUAGUCUGACACAAGUGGGACCUGCCCACAGAACUGCUUGUUGCUGUGUGCCAGGUCCUGACUCCAGCACCUGAAAAGCAACCAGACAACAAAUUGCCACUGCCCAGAAGAGGCUCCAGGGACCCAACAGAAUACUUUCAUGGGCAGGAGGUACGGGACAAGUCAGAUGAACACGUGGAUCAUGUGUCUCAGAUCCAUAGUUACAGAGAUGAAGUAAAAGGUGCUGAUGGGCCCAUGCUCAAACCAACAAGCAGAAGUUAUGACCCAGCCAUUGUCUCACUCACUUCUGUUACUUCAUAGACUGAAGGGGCUCCACUCACUUCUAAAGAACCAGUUGAUUGGUUAAAAUCUCACCUUUGGUGGCAGAGUGAGGAAGAGGAAACAUGAUGGUCCAGGGCUUUGAUGGCCAAAAUUACAGUUAAUAAUUACUUGAAGUGAAGAAGUUUACUUCAAUCAUGUGGAUCUGCUCAACUAUGUAAAGUUUGUAUCCUACCUGAUGUGAUUUUACUUUAAAAAGGAAAGGUUUUUAUUAGAAUUGAAGAAAAAUUAUUCAGAUUUUAAAGAUGGGCUUCAAACCAUUAUUUGAAUAUGUUUAAUUUAAAAUUUUCAGGAAAAGGAGAGGAGGAAUAAUUAUGGUACUACCUUUACUGGGUAAGAUGAAUGUUGAAAUAAAUAGAACUAAUCCUGUAGUAGAGUGUCUAGUCUAGAGCAUCAGAUUGAAACUACUUUCCAUACAAAUGUCCUGCCACAGACCUCUGCCGUGUUUGUCUUCCUCACGCUGGUAGGUAGCUUUUCCUUUGUUUCCCCACGGUCUGCUUCCACCAGAAAACGAUUUCUAAAAAGUUUCAUCUAAAUAAGGCCAGUAAUAUGGUAGGUCUCUCUGCCCUGAACAGAUUGAACAAAUAUUUCAACAAUUUAACAAAUAAUUUAGGUACCUACUGUGUGCCAAGCUGUCCUCUUAAGGUUACUAGACAGUAUAAAUGACAGACAUUAAUACCCAAAUGAAAAUGUUGUGAAGGGCAAGUGUCAAGACAGACCUAACAAGUAACAUUUUAGGAUGAAACCUGAAGUAAAAGUUCGUGCUAGCCAGGCAAGAAAGAAUAGUAUGGAAGGAGUUUUGUUCGUUUGAGGACUGAAAGAAGGCCCAUGAGGUUGGAGCCUGGGUGACAAGGCAAGUGAGUUUAUGAACCAUGUGAAGAGCUUUUGUGAUUUGAUCCUCAAGCGCAGUGAAGGGCUAACAUCCAUUCAUAUAAAUCCUAAACUGCUCGGUGAAUAUUUUUAUGCCUGCAUUGUUUCCUAAUUCCUUAUUCAUAACAGCAGUACCAACUUUUUGGACAAAAGCUCUAGAUUUGCUAAUGCUGCUUUUUUUCAUUGUUCAAUGUCCAUAAUGAAUUUCCUCUCAUCUGAGGCCCUGUCCUACAGGGAGAGCCCUCCCCUCAUUCCACAAUUGCUUAAUGUUUAUGCAUUCAGUAGGAGGAAUAGAUGCUAUUUUGUUUGUACAAACAUUAACCAUAGAAUGAAGUCUUUCCACUGUAACUUGAGAUAACAAAGCCACAAACAUUGCAGGAAACAAAAUAGUGCAACCGGUGGUAUAUAUGAAGUGACAGGGUAUCUAAAAUCCUAAGAAAACUUGACACAGUGAAAUGUACGUAA